UACAUGCAGUCGAGCGGAGAUGAGGUGCUUGCACCUUAUCUUAGCGGCGGACGGGUGAGUAAUGCUUAGGAAUCUGCCUAUUAGUGGGGGACAACAUUUCGAAAGGAAUGCUAAUACCGCAUACGCCCUACGGGGGAAAGCAGGGGAUCUUCGGACCUUGCGCUAAUAGAUGAGCCUAAGUCGGAUUAGCUAGUUGGUGGGGUAAAGGCCUACCAAGGCGACGAUCUGUAGCGGGUCUGAGAGGAUGAUCCGCCACACUGGGACUGAGACACGGCCCAGACUCCUACGGGAGGCAGCAGUGGGGAAUAUUGGACAAUGGGGGGAACCCUGAUCCAGCCAUGCCGCGUGUGUGAAGAAGGCCUUUUGGUUGUAAAGCACUUUAAGCGAGGAGGAGGAGCUCUAGAUUAAUACUCUAGAUGCUUGGACGUUACUCGCAGAAUAAGCACCGGCUAACUCUGUGCCAGCAGCCGCGGUAAUACAGAGGGUGCAAGCGUUAAUCGGAUUUACUGGGCGUAAAGCGUGCGUAGGUGGUCUUUUAAGUCGGAUGUGAAAUCCCUGAGCUUAACUUAGGAACUGCAUUCGAUACUGGGAGACUAGAGUAUGGGAGAGGAUGGUAGAAUUCCAGGUGUAGCGGUGAAAUGCGUAGAGAUCUGGAGGAAUACCGAUGGCGAAGGCAGCCAUCUGGCCUAAUACUGACACUGAGGUACGAAAGCAUGGGGAGCAAACAGGAUUAGAUACCCUGGUAGUCCAUGCCGUAAACGAUGUCUACUAGCCGUUGGGGCCUUUGAGGCUUUAGUGGCGCAGCUAACGCGAUAAGUAGACCGCCUGGGGAGUACGGUCGCAAGACUAAAACUCAAAUGAAUUGACGGGGGGCCCGCACAAGCGGUGGAGCAUGUGGUUUAAUUCGAUGCAACGCGAAAAACCUUACCUGGUCUUGACAUA
rnacentral:rRNA from 1 species